rnacentral:ncRNA from 1 species
CAACCUGAACUCAGUCGUGAUUACCCGCUGAACUUAAGCAUAUCAUUUAGCGGAGGAAAAGAAACUAAAAAGGAUUCCCCUAGUAACGGCGAGUGAAACGGGAAGAGCCCAGCGCCGAAUCGAUCAGUCUUUGGCUGCUUCGAAAUGUGGCGUAUAGGUGUAGUCUUCCAGCAGUGUCGUAUGUCCGAAGUCCUUGCGAUUGAGGCCAUAAACCAGAGAGGGUGCGAGCCCCGUUCUGGAUAGCGGCGCUGUUGGUUCGACUGCUCCUUGGAGUCGGGUUGCUUGAAAGAGCAGCCUAAAGUGGGUGAUAAACUUCAUCUAAGGCUAAAUAUUGACUCGAUUGCGAUAGCGAACAAGUACCGUGAGGGAAAGUUGCAAAGGACUUUGAAGAGAGAGUUCAAGAGAACGUGAAAUCGCUGGAGUGGAACCGGAGACAGUUGAUGUUGCUUGGAGACAAUCUUGGUGGCUGAUCGCUUAGCUGUGAUCGCCGCCGGGAGUCGUUUCCUAUGCUACGCCGACGGCGUUGGCCGCUCGUUCUGGCCCGACAGUGUUGCCCAUCUCGCAAGAGACGGUGUCUUGUUGUCGGUCGUUGGUUCGUGGUGGCUAGCGUUUAGUUACGCUAGUGUGUGUGACGUCGGUGUGAAAGUCGACGACGUUUCCGACCCGUCUUGAAACACGGAUUACGGAGUGUUUGUCUGCUGCGAGUCAAAGGGUGUAAAAACCUUGCGGCGCAAUGAAAGUGAAGGUUAGUCUCGAACUGACCGACGUGGGAUCCGUGCUCUUCGGAGUGCGGCGCACCACGGCCCUAUGCGUGUCACUUGUGACUGUGUAGAGGUUGAGCAGUAGGCAAGCGACCCGAAAGAUGGUGAACUAUGCCUGAGCAGGAUGAAGCCAGAGGAAACUCUGGUGGAAGUCCGUAUCGGUUCUGACGUGCAAAUCG